AACGAACGCUGGCGGCGCGCCUAAUACAUGCAAGUCGAGCGAGAAGACGUAGCAAUACGUUUGUAAAGCGGCGAACGGGUGAGGAAUACAUGGGUAACCUACCCUCGAGUGGGGAAUAACUAGCCGAGAGGUUAGCUAAUACCGCGUACGCUCCUUGGACUUCGGUUCAGGGAGGAAAGCGAUACCGUGGGUAUCGCGCUCUUGGAUGGGCUCAUGUCCUAUCAGCUUGNGGUGAGGUAACGGCUCACCAAGGCUUCGACGGGUAGCUGGUCUGAGAGGACGAUCAGCCACACUGGCACUGCGACACGGGCCAGACUCCUACGGGAGGCAGCAGUAAGGAAUAUUGCGCAAUGGGCGAAAGCCUGACGCAGCGACGCCGCGGUGGGGGAU
rnacentral:rRNA from 1 species